AGAGUUUGAUCAUGGCUCAGGAUGAACGCUAGCGGCAGGCUUAAUACAUGCAAGUCGAGGGGCAGCACGAAUAGCAAUAUUUGGUGGCGACCGGCAAACGGGUGCGGAACACGUACGCAACCUUCCCAAAACUGGUGAAUAGCCCUCCGAAAGGAGGAUUAAUACACCGUACCAUAAUGAAGUGGCAUCACUUUAUUAUUAUAGGCAGCAAUGUCGGUUUUGGAUGGGCGUGCGCCUGAUUAGGUAGUUGGCGGGGUAACGGCCCACCAAGCCUCCGAUCAGUAACUGGUGUGAGAGCACGACCAGUCACACGGGCACUGAGACACGGGCCCGACUCCUACGGGAGGCAGCAGUAAGGAAUAUUGGUCAAUGGACGCAAGUCUGAACCAGCCAUGCCGCGUGAAGGAUGAAGGCCCUCUGGGUUGUAAACUUCUUUUAUCUGGGACGAAAAAAGGGGAUUCUUCCUCACUUGACGGUACCAGAGGAAUAAGCACCGGCUAACUCCGUGCCAGCAGCCGCGGUAAUACGGAGGGUGCAAGCGUUAUCCGGAUUUACUGGGUUUAAAGGGUGCGUAGGUGGGUAGGUAAGUCAGUGGUGAAAUCUUCAAGCUUAACUUGGAAACUGCCAUUGAUACUAUUUAUCUUGAAUACUUUGGAGGUAAGCGGAAUAUGUCAUGUAGCGGUGAAAUGCUUAGAUAUGACAUAGAACACCAAUUGCGAAGGCAGCUUACUACACAGUUAUUGACACUGAGGCACGAAAGCGUGGGGAUCAAACAGGAUUAGAUACCCUAGUAGUCC
rnacentral:rRNA from 1 species